AACGAACGCUGGCGGCAUGCCUAACACAUGCAUGUCGAACGAAGACUUCGGGCUUAGUUGCGCACGGGUGCGUAACGCGUGGUAAUCUGCCCUUGGGUUCGGAAUAAUAGUUAGUAAUGACUUCUAAUACAGGAUUAUUUCUGCGGACCGAAGAUUUAUCGUGCAAGGAUGAGCCCGCGUAGGAUUAGGUAGUUGGUGGGGUAAUGUCCCUCCACGCCUACGAUCCUUAGCUGGGCCGAGAGGAUGACCAGCCACACUGGGACUGAGACACGGCGCAGACUCCUACGGGAGGCAGCAGUGGGGAAUAUUGGACAAUGGGCGAAAGCCUGAUCCAGCAAUGCCGAGUGAGUGAUGAAGGCCUUAGGGUUGUAAAGCUCUUUUACCAGGGAUGAUAAUGACAGUACCUGGAGAAUAAGCUCCGGCUAACUCCGUGCCAGCCGCCGCCGUAAAAC
rnacentral:rRNA from 1 species